ensembl:snRNA U6 U6 spliceosomal RNA
GUGCUCGCUUCGGCAGCACACAUCCUCAAAUUGGGACGAUACAUAGAAGCUUAGCAUUCCCCUGCAAGGAUAACACACACAUUUGUGAAGCGUUCCGUAUUUUU